GGCGCACGGGUGAGUAACGCGUGGAUAAUCUACCCUUUAGUCGGGAAUAACUUAUCGAAAGGUGAACUAAUACCGGAUGAAACUGCACAACUACUGUUGUGUAGUCAAAGAAGGCCUCUGCUUGCAAGCUUUCGCUAAAGGAUGAGUCCGCGUACCAUUAGCUAGUUGGUAGGGUAAUAGCCUACCAAGGUUAUGAUGGUUAGCUGGUCUGAGAGGAUGAUCAGCCACACUGGAACUGAAACACGGUCCAGACUCCUACGGGAGGCAGCAGUGAGGAAUAUUGCGCAAUGGGGGCAACCCUGACGCAGCAACGCCGCGUGAGUGAGGAAGGUUUUCGGAUUGUAAAGCUCUGUCGAGCGGAAAGAAAUGUAUGAUGGCUAAUAUCCAUCAUGCUUGACGGUACCGCUAGAGGAAGCACCGGCUAACUCCGUGCCAGCAGCCGCGGUAAUACGGGGGGUGCAAGCGUUGUUCGGAAUUAUUGGGCGUAAAGAGCGUGUAGGCGGCUAGACAAGUCAGAUGUGAAAGCCCUGGGCUUAACUCAGGAAGUGCAUUUGAAACUGUCCUGCUA
rnacentral:rRNA from 1 species